CGGACGGUACCUCAUUAGAAAGCCAGGGCUAAUUACGUGCCAGCAGCCGCGGUAAUACGUAGGUGGCAAGCGUUGUCCGGAAUCAUUGGGCGUAAAGCGCGCGCAGGCGGUCCCUUAAGUCCUGAUGUGAAAGCCCACGGCUCAACCGUGGAGGGUCAUUGGAAACUGGGGGACUUGAGUGCAGAAGAGGAAAGCGGAAUUCCAAGUGUAGCGGUGAAAUGCGUAGAGAUUUGGAGGAACACCAGUGGCGAAGGCGGCUUUCUGGUCUGUAACUGACGCUGAGGCGCGAAAGCGUGGGGAGCAAACAGGAUUAGAUACCCUGGUAGUCCACGCCGUAAACGAUGAGUGCUAAGUGUUAGGGGGUUUCCGCCCCUUAGUGCUGCAGCUAACGCAUUAAGCACUCCGCCUGGGGAGUACGGUCGCAAGACUGAAACUCAAAGGAAUUGACGGGGGCCCGCACAAGCGGUGGAGCAUGUGGUUUAAUUCGAAGCAACGCGAAGAACCUUACCAGGUCUUGACAUCCCGCCGACCGCCUAGGAGACUGGGCCUUCCCUUCGGGGACGGCGGUGACAGGUGGUGCAUGGUUGUCGUCAGCUCGUGUCGUGAGAUGUUGGGUUAAGUCCCGCAACGAGCGCAACCCUUGAUCUUAGUUGCCAGCAUUCAGUUGGGCACUCUAAGGUGACUGCCGGUGACAAACCGGAGGAAGGUGGGGAUGACGUCAAAUCAUCAUGCCCCUUAUGACCUGGGCUACACACGUGCUACAAUGGAUGGUACAAAGGGCUGCGAACCCGCGAGGGGGAGCCAAUCCCAUAAAACCAUUCUCAGUUCGGAUUGUAGGCUGCAACUCGCCUACAUGAAGCUGGAAUCGCUAGUAAUCGUGGAUCAGCAUGCCACGGUGAAUACGUUCCCGGGCCUUGUACACACCGCCCGUCACACCACGAAGAGUUUGUAACACCCCGAAGUCCGGUGGGGGUAACCUUUUAUGGAGCCCGGCCCCCGAAGGUGGGGACAGAUGAUUGGGGGUGAAUCGAAAAGAAAGGGGGCAGAAAAAAAAAAUAAAAGGCAUAAACCC
rnacentral:rRNA from 1 species